UACGUAGGGGGCAAGCGUUGUCCGGAAUCAUUGGGCGUAAAGAGCGUGUAGGCGGCCCGAUAAGUCCGCUGUGAAAGUCCAGGGCUCAACCCUGGGAUGCCGGUGGAUACUGUCGGGCUCGAGUCCGGAAGAGGAGUGUGGAAUUCCUGGUGUAGCGGUGAAAUGCGCAGAUAUCAGGUAGAACACCGGUGGCGAAGGCGGGUCUCUGGGCCAUUACUGACGCUGAGGAGCGAAAGCGUGGGGAGCGAACAGG
rnacentral:rRNA from 1 species